UUGAAGGCUAUGGGUGUGGAGCCCCAUAAUCACUUGGUCCAGGACAGGCAGUAGGCGUCAGCGGGCGCCCUAAGGCUCCACGGCAUGUGCCUGUACUGCUGGGACAUCGAGCCUUCCCAAGUCAACCCUGAAGGACCAAGACAACAUCAUCCUUCAGAGGUCACUGAGCGGCAGCUUGCAAAUAAACGUAUUCAGAAUAUGCAAAACCUAAAGAAAGAGAAGAGGAGAUUGAAUAAAAGGUUUGCAAGGCCUUCUCCUAUUCCAGAACCAGGACUCCUAUCCCAGAUGUUUUUUAAAGAAAUGUCUACAAAACUGUUCUUUACCAUUCAUCCCACCAACUCAUCUGAGGUUUCAGAGACAACUGAAAUGUUUCACAAAUAAUGGUCAUCUUGAUAAAGCAGGAGUCUAUUUGAAGGAAACCACGCUCCAGACCGAAAUAUGUGGAUUGCGAACAUCAAGUGACAUAUCAUGAAUUGAUCAUCCACAAAAUAAAUGCAAUACUCCACCAUUUCAGGAAAAUAAACACACUGCAAAGAAAAGAGCAAAGCUUGCAGAGGCUGCAGAGAGAAGACAAAAAGAGAUGUUCAAUCUGUGCAAGAAAAGAGAAAGAAAAAGGAAAAAAUAGAAAAACAAAUUGCUACAUCUGGGCCCCCACCAGAAGGUGGACUUAGG